rnacentral:siRNA from 1 species
UGAUGUGCUUAGAUUGUGAUUGUA